GAUGAACGCUGGCGGCGUGCCUAAUACAUGCAAGUCGAGCGAACAGACGAGGAGCUUGCUCCUCUGACGUUAGCGGCGGACGGGUGAGUAACACGUGGAUAACCUACCUAUAAGACUGGGAUAACUUCGGGAAACCGGAGCUAAUACCGGAUAAUAUAUUGAACCGCAUGGUUCAAUAGUGAAAGACGGUUUUGCUGUCACUUCUAGAUGGAUCCGCGCCGCAUUAGCUAGUUGGUAAGGUAACGGCUUACCAAGGCAACGAUGCGUAGCCGACCUGAGAGGCUGAUCGGCCACACGGGAACUGAGACACGGUCCAGACUCCUAAGGGAGGCAGCAGUAGGGAAUCUGCCGCAAUGGGCGAAAGCCUGACGGAGCAACGCCGCGUGAGUGAUGAAGGUCUUCGGAUCGUAAAAAUCUGUUAUGAGGGAAGAACAAAUGUGUAAGUAACUAUGCACGUCUUGACGGUACCUAAUCAGAAAGCCACGGCUAACUACGUG
rnacentral:rRNA from 1 species